UACCAAGGUUAUCCAAUCGUCCUCACCGUCUGACAUUUUAUAGAUUAUUUAUAUAACAUAUAUACCCUCUUAAUCCUUUUGCAAUCCAGAUAUCGACCAUGUAUGCUUCACAGCAGCAUCAACCAUCCAAAUGGCCACAGUAUAUGAAGAGAUGAAAAACAGCUGUUGGUGUUUCAUACAGUUUGUGUACAUAUAUAUAAUUUGGAGGCAAGAAGCAAGUGAGUUUGUACGCCCUUGGAGAACGAACGCAAGGCAAGUCUAUGACCUCAUCACAGCGACACAGGAGGCACCAUACAUAGGUCAUCUGUGAGCACUGAGCACCGCUGGUGUGGGAUCCUCCUCAUGCC
rnacentral:lncRNA from 1 species